rnacentral:rRNA from 1 species
UACGUAGGGGGCUAGCGUUGUCCGGAUUUAUUGGGCGUAAAGAGCGUGUAGGCGGCCAGGUAGGUCUGCUGUGAAAACUCGAGGCUCAACCUCGAGAUGUCGGCGGAAACCAUCUGGCUAGAGUCCGGAAGAGGCGAGUGGAAUUCCUGGUGUAGCGGUGAAAUGCGCAGAUAUCAGGAGGAACACCAAUUGCGAAGGCAGCUCGCUGGGACGUUACUGACGCUGAGACGCGAAAGCGUGGGGAGCAAACAGG